CUGGCUCAGGAUGAACGCUAGCUACAGGCUUAACACAUGCAAGUCGAGGGGCAGCAUGAGAUUAGCUUGCUAAUCUGAUGGCGACCGGCGCACGGGUGCGUAACACGUAUCCAAUCUACCCAUGGCUCGGGGAUAGCCCUUACGAAAGAAAGAUUAAUACCCGAUGGUCUGCGAUUGAGACAUCUCGAUUGCAGUAAAGACUUGUCGGCGAUGGAUGGGGAUGCGUCCGAUUAGCUAGUUGGCGGGGUAACGGCCCACCAAGGCGACGAUCGGUAGGGGUUCUGAGAGGAAGGUCCCCCACACUGGAACUGAGACACGGUCCAGACUCCUACGGGAGGCAGCAGUGAGGAAUAUUGGUCAAUGGUCGGGAGACUGAACCAGCCAAGUAGCGUGAGGGACGACGGCCCUACGGGUUGUAAACCUCUUUUGUAUGGGAAUAAAGUGACGGCACGUGUGCCUUUUUGUAUGUACCUUACGAAUAAGCAUCGGCUAAUUCCGUGCCAGCAGCCGC
rnacentral:rRNA from 1 species